ACAAGGUUUCACUGCGGAGACCGUGCAACCCUGCGGGGAGGCAGCGCGACAGUAAAUAAAGCUACCGCUUGCAAGUCAGUCUCGACUGGCAACACAAUCGAAUUGCGGGGACCUCCUAAAGCUCAAGCUACGAAGUUAGCGCCGAAAGGUGCUGAUGCAGUUAAAAUGCUUGAGAUGUUACAAUGGACAAUCCGCAGCGAAGACCCUACAGCGCAAGCCACGGGUAUCGUUCACAGACUAAGUGAUUGUGGGUAGGCAACUACUUAAGAUAUAGUCGAGCCUGAGCCGAAAGGUUGAGGGUGCACUGUCCGUAGGUGAACCUGCGGAAGGAUCAUUA
rnacentral:ncRNA from 1 species